rnacentral:rRNA from 1 species
CCUACGGGAGGCAGCAGUGAGGAAUAUUGGUCAAUGGGCGAGAGCCUGAACCAGCCAAGUCGCGUGAAGGAUGAAGGAUCUAUGGUUUGUAAACUUCUUUUAGAUGGGAAUAAAGUGAGGAACGUGUUCCUGUUUGUAGGUACCAUAUGAAUAAGCAUCGGCUAACUCCGUGGCAGCAGCCGCGGUAAUACGGAGGAUGCGAGCGUUAUCCGGAUUUAUAGGGUUUAAAGGGUGCGUAGGUGGUUAAUUAAGUCAGCGGUGAGAGUUUGUGGCUCAACCAUAAAAUUGCCGUUGAAACUGGUUGACUUGAGUAUAUUUGAGGUAGGCGGAAUGCGUGGGGUAGCGGUGAAAUGCAUAGAUAUCACGCAGAACUCCGAUUGCGAAGGCAGCUUACUAAACUAUAACUGACACUGAAGCACGAAAGCGUGGGGAUCAAACAGGAUUAGAUACCCGAGUAGUC